AUGAACGCUGGCGGCGUGCCUAAUACAUGCAAGUCGAGCGAACGGGCGAGAAGCUUGCUUCUCUGAUGUUAGCGGCGGACGGGUGAGUAACACGUGGAUAACCUACCUAUAAGACUGGGAUAACUUCGGGAAACCGGAGCUAAUACCGGAUAAUAUUUUGAACCGCAUGGUUCAAAAGUGAAAGACGGUCUUGCUGUCACUUAUAGAUGGAUCCGCGCUGCAUUAGCUAGUUGGUAAGGUAACGGCUUACCAAGGCAACGAUGCAUAGCCGACCUGAGAGGGGGAUCGGCCACACUGGAACUGAGACACGGUCCAGACUCCUACGGGAGGCAGCAGUAGGGAAUCUUCCGCAAUGGGCGAAAGCCUGACGGAGCAACGCCGCGUGAGUGAUGAAGGUCUUCGGAUCGUAAAACUCUGUUAUUAGGGAAGAACAUAUGUGUAAGUAACUGUGCACAUCUUGACGGUACCUAAUCAGAAAGCCACGGCUAACUACGUG
rnacentral:rRNA from 1 species